AGAGCGAACGCUGGCGGCAGGCCUAACACAUGCAAGUCGAACGAACUCUUCGGAGUUAGUGGCGGACGGGUGAGUAACACGUGGGAACGUGCCUUUAGGUUCGGAAUAACUCAGGGAAACUUGUGCUAAUACCGAAUGUGCCCUUCGGGGGAAAGAUUUAUCGCCUUUAGAGCGGCCCGCGUCUGAUUAGCUAGUUGGUGAGGUAAUGGCUCACCAAGGCGACGAUCAGUAGCUGGUCUGAGAGGAUGAUCAGCCACAUUGGGACUGAGACACGGCCCAAACUCCUACGGGAGGCAGCAGUGGGGAAUCUUGCGCAAUGGGCGAAAGCCUGACGCAGCCAUGCCGCGUGAAUGAUGAAGGUCUUAGGAUUGUAAAAUUCUUUCACCGGGGACGAUAAUGACGGUACCCGGAGAAGAAGCCCCGGCUAACUUCGUGCCAGCAGCCGCGGUAAUACGAAGGGGGCUAGCGUUGCUCGGAAUUACUGGGCGUAAAGGGAGCGUAGGCGGACAUUUAAGUCAGGGGUGAAAUCCCGGGGCUCAACCUCGGAAUUGCCUUUGAUACUGGGUGUCUUGAGUAUGAGAGAGGUGUGUGGAACUCCGAGUGUAGAGGUGAAAUUCGUAGAUAUUCGGAAGAACACCAGUGGCGAAGGCGACACACUGGCUCAUUACUGACGCUGAGGCUCGAAAGCGUGGGGAGCAAACAGGAUUAGAUACCCUGGUAGUCCACGCCGUAA
rnacentral:rRNA from 1 species